CCUACGGGUGGCUGCAGUGGGGAAUAUUGCACAAUGGGCGCAAGCCUGAUGCAGCCAUGCCGCGUGUGUGAAGAAGGCCUUCGGGUUGUAAAGCACUUUCAGCGGGGAGGAAGGCGGUGAGGUUAAUAACCUCAUCGAUUGACGUUACCCGCAGAAGAAGCACCGGCUAACUCCGUGCCAGCAGCCGCGGUAAUACGGAGGGUGCAAGCGUUAAUCGGAAUUACUGGGCGUAAAGCGCACGCAGGCGGUCUGUCAAGUCGGAUGUGAAAUCCCCGGGCUCAACCUGGGAACUGCAUUCGAAACUGGCAGGCUAGAGUCUUGUAGAGGGGGGUAGAAUUCCAGGUGUAGCGGUGAAAUGCGUAGAGAUCUGGAGGAAUACCGGUGGCGAAGGCGGCCCCCGGGACAAAGACUGACGCUCAGGUGCGAAAGCGUGGGGAGCAAACAGGAUUAGAUACCCGUGUAGUC
rnacentral:rRNA from 1 species